GACGAACGCUGGCGGCGUGCUUAACACAUGCAAGUCGAACGAAAAGAGGGAAAGAGCUUGCUCUUUCCGGAAUUGAGUGGCAAACGGGUGAGUAACACGUAAACAACCUGCCUUCAGGAUGGGGACAACAGACGGAAACGACUGCUAAUACCGAAUAAGUUCCAAGAGCCGCAUGGCCCAUGGAAGAAAAGGUGGCCUCUACCUGUAAGCUAUCGCCUGAAGAGGGGUUUGCGUCUGAUUAGCUGGUUGGAGGGGUAACGGCCCACCAAGGCGACGAUCAGUAGCCGGUCUGAGAGGAUGAACGGCCACACUGGAACUGAGACACGGUCCAGACUCCUACGGGAGGCAGCAGUGGGGAAUCUUCCGCAAGGGGCGAAAGCCUGACGGAGCAACGCCGCGUGAGUGAUGACGGCCUUCGGGUUGUAAAACUCUGUGAUCCGGGACGAAAAGGCAGAGUGCGAAGAACAAACUGCAUUGACGGUACCGGAAAAGCAAGCCACGGCUAACUACGUG
rnacentral:rRNA from 1 species